rnacentral:rRNA from 1 species
UACAGAGGUCUCAAGCGUUGUUCGGAUUCAUUGGGCGUAAAGGGUGCGUAGGCGGCGCGGUAAGUCGGGUGUGAAAUCUCGGAGCUUAACUCCGAAACUGCAUUCGAUACUGCGGUGCUUGAGGACUGGAGAGGAGACUGGAAUUCAUGGUGUAGCAAGUGAAAUGCGUAGAGAUCAUGAGGAAGACCAGUGGCGAAGGCGGGUCUCUGGACAGUUCCUGACACUGAGGCACGAAGGCCAGGGGAGCAAACGGG